rnacentral:rRNA from 1 species
AGUGAACGCUGGCGGUAGGCCUAACACAUGCAAGUCGAACGGCAGCACAGGAGAGCUUGCUCUCUGGGUGGCGAGUGGCGGACGGGUGAGGAAUACAUCGGAAUCUACUCUGUCGUGGGGGAUAACGCAGGGAAACUUACGCUAAUACCGCAUACGACCUACGGGUGAAAGCAGGGGACCUUAAGGCCUUGAGAGAUUGAAUGAGCCGAUGUCGGAUUAGCUAGUUGGCGGGGUAAAGGCCCACCAAGGCGACGAUCCGUGGCUGGUCUGAGAGGAUGAUCAGCCACACUGGAACCGAGACACGGUCCAGACUCCUACGGGAGGCAGCAGUGGGGAAUAUUGGACAAUGGGCGCAAGCCUGAUCCAGCCAUACCGCGUGGGUGAAGAAGGCCUUCGGGUUGUAAAGCCCUUUUGUUGGGAAAGAAAUCCAGCUGGCUAAUACCCGGUUGGGAUGACGGUACCCAAAGAAUAAGCACCGGCUAACUUCGUGCCAGCCGCCGCAGUAA